rnacentral:rRNA from 1 species
UGGGGAAUUUUGGACAAUGGGCGAAAGCCUGAUCCAGCAAUGCCGCGUGUGUGAAGAAGGCCUUCGGGUUGUAAAGCACUUUUGUCCGGAAAGAAAUCCUUGGCUCUAAUACAGUCGGGGGAUGACGGUACCGGAAGAAUAAGCACCGGCUAACUACGUGCCAGCAGCCGCGGUAAUACGUAGGGUGCAAGCGUUAAUCGGAAUUACUGGGCGUAAAGCGUGCGCAGGCGGUUUGCUAAGACCGAUGUGAAAUCCCCGGGCUCAACCUGGGAACUGCAUUGGUGACUGGCAGGCUAGAGUAUGGCAGAGGGGGGUAGAAUUCCACGUGUAGCAGUGAAAUGCGUAGAGAUGUGGAGGAAUACCGAUGGCGAAGGCAGCCCCCUGGGCCAAUACCUGACGCUCAUGCACGAAAAGCGUGGGGGAGCAAAACAGGAUUAG